rnacentral:rRNA from 1 species
UACGUAGGGGGCAAGCGUUGUCCGGAAUCAUUGGGCGUAAAGAGCGCGUAGGCGGUCCGGUAAGUCGGUUGUGAAAACUGGGGGCUCAACCCUCAGAGGCCGACCGAUACUGUCGGGCUAGAGUCCGGAAGAGGCGAGUGGAAUUCCCGGUGUAGCGGUGAAAUGCGCAGAUAUCGGGAGGAACACCAAUGGCGAAGGCAGCUCGCUGGGACGGUACUGACGCUGAGACGCGAAAGCGUGGGGAGCAAACAGG